GGUUAUGACGUAGAUGGUCUACAAGAAGAUUGCAGAUCUUCCCUUUUUAGGUUCGAUUCCUACAUAACCU
rnacentral:tRNA from 1 species